UACGGAGGGGGCUAGCGUUGUUCGGAAUUACUGGGCGUAAAGCGCACGUAGGCGGCUUUGUAAGUUAGAGGUGAAAGCCCGGAGCUCAACUCCGGAACUGCCUUUAAGACUGCAUCGCUUGAACGUCGGAGAGGUAAGUGGAAUUCCGAGUGUAGAGGUGAAAUUCGUAGAUAUUCGGAAGAACACCAGUGGCGAAGGCGACUUC
rnacentral:rRNA from 1 species